rnacentral:rRNA from 1 species
AAAAAUCCGGGGUUUCAAGGCCGAGAGCUGAUGACGAGUCGUCUUUUAGAUGACGAAGUGGUUGAUGCCAUGCUUCCAAGAAAAGCUUCUAAGCUUCAGGUAACCAGGAACCGUACCCCAAACCGACACAGGUGGUCGGGUAGAGAAUACCAAGGCGCUUGAGAGAACUCGGGUGAAGGAACUAGGCAAAAUGGCACCGUAACUUCGGGAGAAGGUGCGCCGGCUAGGGUGAAGGAUUUACUCCGUAAGCUCUGGCUGGUCGAAGAUACCAGGCCGCUGCGACUGUUUAUUAAAAACACAGCACUCUGCAAACACGAAAGUGGACGUAUAGGGUGUGACGCCUGCCCGGUGCCGGAAGGUUAAUUGAUGGGGUUAGCGCAAGCGAAGCUCUUGAUCGAAGCCCCGGUAAACGGCGGCCGUAACUAUAACGGUCCUAAGGUAGCGAAAUUCCUUGUCGGGUAAGUUCCGACCUGCACGAAUGGCGUAACGAUGGCGGCGCUGUCUCCACCCGAGACUCAGUGAAAUUGAAAUCGCUGUGAAGAUGCAGUGUAUCCGCGGCUAGACGGAAAGACCCCGUGAACCUUUACUGUAGCUUUGCACUGGACUUUGAGCCUGCUUGUGUAGGAUAGGUGGGAGGCUUUGAAGCGUGGACGCCAGUUCGCGUGGAGCCAUCCUUGAAAUACCACCCUGGCAUGCUUGAGGUUCUAACUCUGGUCCGUAAUCCGGAUCGAGGACAGUGUAUGGUGGGCGGUUUGACUGGGGCGGUCUCCUCCUAAAGAGUAACGGAGGAGUACGAAGGUGCGCUCAGACCGGUCGGAAAUCGGUCGCAGAGUAUAAAGGCAAAAGCGCGCUUGACUGCGAGACAGACACGUCGAGCAGGUACGAAAGUAGGUCUUAGUGAUCCGGUGGUUCUGUAUGGAAGGGCCAUCGCUCAACGGAUAAAAGGUACUCCGGGGAUAACAGGCUGAUACCGCCCAAGAGUUCAUAUCGACGGCGGUGUUUGGCACCUCGAUGUCGGCUCAUCACAUCCUGGGGCUGAAGCCGGUCCCAAGGGUAUGGCUGUUCGCCAUUUAAAGUGGUACGCGAGCUGGGUUUAGAACGUCGUGAGACAGUUCGGUCCCUAUCUGCCGUGGACGUUUGAGAUUUGAGAGGGGCUGCUCCUAGUACGAGAGGACCGGAGUGGACGAACCUCUGGUGUUCCGGUUGUCACGCCAGUGGCAUUGCCGGGUAGCUAUGUUCGGAAAAGAUAACCGCUGAAAGCAUCUAAGCGGGAAACUUGCCUCAAGAUGAGAUCUCACUGGGAACUUGAUUCCCCUGAAGGGCCGUCGAAGACUACGACGUUGAUAGGCUGGGUGUGUAAGCGUUGUGAGGCGUUGAGCUAACCAGUACUAAUUGCCCGUGAGGCUUGACU